rnacentral:rRNA from 1 species
GUCUAGGCCAUGCUACCCUGAACAAACCCAAUCCCAUCUGAUCUUGGAAGCUAUGCAGGGUCGGGCCUGGUUAGUACUUGGGUGGGAGACCACCUAGGAAGACCAGGUGCUGUGGGCA